AACGAACGCUGGCGGCAUGCCUAACACAUGCAAGUCGAACGAGACCUUCGGGUCUAGUGGCGCACGGGUGCGUAACGCGUGGGAACAUGCCCUAAGGCUCGGAAUUACUCCCCGAAAGGGGUGCUAACACCGGAUAAUGUCCUCGGACCAAAGAUUUAUCGCCUUUGGAUGGGCCCGCGUUGGAUUAGCUAGUUGGUAGGGUAAAAGCCUACCAAGGCGACGAUCCAUAGCUGGUCAGAGAGGAUGAUCAGCCACACUGGGACUGAGACACGGCCCAGACUCCUACGGGAGGCAGCGGUGGGGGAUAUUGGACGAUGGGCGAAAGCCUGAACCAGCAAUGCCGCGUGAGUGAUGAAGGCCGUAGGGUUGUAAAGCUCUUUUACCCGGGAUGAUAAUGACAGUACCGGGAGAAUAAGCUCCGGCUAACUCCGUG
rnacentral:rRNA from 1 species